GGCUCGAUGGCGGAUGGUCCGCGUCUGUGUUGUUUAACUGAGUUUUCUGGGCGGUGAAGCAGAUUAUCGCCCGUUCGACUCGGGCUCGAGCUA